GGACGAAAACUGAUUAUCUCGAAGCCUUAUGAAUUAUUGACGGUAAUAAAUGAGUGACGAAUAUAAUACAAAGACGGAUCAUUUCUGUGCCGGAAUAAUGUGCGGGCGGUAGUGCCAUCAGAAAAAUGGUAUCGCCUUUUUUAAAACAGGCAUGGACAGUAUCAGCGGUGCUGGUCAACAUGGUGGCACAAGGGAUGCUGCUCAGCUACGCCACCUGCCUCCUGCCGGCGGUGCAAGCUCCUGACUCUCCUA